rnacentral:piRNA from 1 species
AGGAAAGCCGUCUGCACAGAAGAUAA